CCUACGGGGUGCAGCAGUGAGGAAUAUUGGUCAAUGGACGAGAGUCUGAACCAGCCAAGUAGCGUGAAGGAUGACUGCCCUAUGGGUUGUAAACUUCUUUUAUAUGGGAAUAAAAUGUUCCACGUGUGGGCUUUUGUAUGUACCCUAUGAAUAAGGAUCGGCUAACUCCGUGCCAGCAGCCGCGGUAAUACGGAGGAUCCGAGCGUUAUCCGGAUUUAUUGGGGUUAAAGGGAGCGUAGGUGGGUUUUUAAGUCAGUUGUGAAAGUUUGCGGCUCAACCGUAAAAUUGCAGUUGAAACUGGCAGGCUUGAGUACAGUAGAGGUGGGCGGAAUUCGUGGUGUAGCGGUGAAAUGCUUAGAUAUCACGAAGAACUCCGAUUGCGAAGGCAGCUCACUGGACUGCAACUGACACUGAGGCUCGAAAGUGUGGGUAUCAAACAGGAUUAGAUACCCUUGUAGUC
rnacentral:rRNA from 1 species